AUUUCGUACGCAACGGUUUAGUUCGAAAACGUGAAUAUAAAGACAACGUUACGCGCGGUCUUCGGUAAAAUUUUUAAUUUUUAAUGUAUUGCGUACAGAUUCUUUAGAAUUUCCGUUAAAUAAGAUUAUAUACAAAAAAAAAAAAAAAAAAACAUAAAGUGACGUGCUUUGAAAGAAUUUGUAGAUGAAUACAAAAAAACAAAUAUAUUUAGAAAUAUUAUUCAAUAACACAAAUAUUUAAAAAAAAAUAUCUACAAAAAAUAAACAAAAAAAAAUCUGUGAAUUUUUUUAACCAGCUAUCAUUUGUUGAAUUAAUAAACAACAACAAAAAAAAUAAAUUAUUUAUAAACAAAAAUUGUGAGUGAAUUUGGAAGCUAAAAAAAAUCAAA